rnacentral:rRNA from 1 species
UAGAUACCCUGGUAGUCCCGGCUGUAAACGAUGAUUACUGGGUGUGGGCAGGAAGACUGUCUGUGCCGAAGCAAAUGCGAUAAGUAAUCCGCCUGGGGAGUACGGCCGCAAGGCUGAAACUCAAAGGAAUUGACGGGGACCCGCACAAGCGGUGGAGCAUGUGGUUUAAUUCGACGCAACGCGAGGAACCUUACCAGAUCUUGACAUCCCGCGAAUGCCCGUGAAGACGGGCAGUGCCUUCGGGGAACGC